GCCACCAGCUGUCAGAAACUCAUUGAAGUAGGUGACUAACUAAAGUUUCAUCCUCUCUAUGAGAAGUUCAUGCCACAGGAGUAGCCACCGAAGCCCUGUGUGAAGAGUUGAAGGUUAUGUGGUCUUGAUCAGAAGUGGAAAUGACAAAGUUUUCGCAUGAAAACAAGUGAUUUUGCCCCACGGCACAGAGCAUGUGCAGUUCAGUAAGGGAAAUUCUGGUUGUAGACCAAGGAGAACUGGGGUCAGGCAUCCCAGUUGGUUCAUGGAUGCUUUGUGGACAUUAAUCUGAGUGUUCUCAACUUGGUUAUUUGUAAGGAGCCAAGGGAGGAUAUUCCUAGACGGACAGAUACUACCGUGCCUUGAAGGUUGGGGUCCCCAAAAGAUAACAGCAUCCGGAAGAUUUUCAGUCUCACUGAAGAAGAUGAUGUCCAGCAAUAUGUUGUCAGGAAAUUAAGAAGCAAAACACCAAGAUUCAGCAUCCUGCAACAUAAACAUUGCUCUGAUUUUUAAAAUGAGGCUGCUACACAGUGUGGCCAAGAGAAUGAGGGAAGCCAAAGAAAAACAGCAAGAAGAGAGAUCACCAAGAGGCAUAGGUUGUCCUUGCUGAGAGCUUCUAAGUCUGAGUGCAGUCAAAAAUAA
rnacentral:lncRNA from 1 species